rnacentral:rRNA from 1 species
UACGGAGGGUGCAAGCGUUAUCCGGAUUCACUGGGUUUAAAGGGUGCGUAGGUGGGUCUGUAAGUCAGUGGUGAAAUCUCCGUGCUUAACAUGGAAACUGCCAUUGAUACUAUAGGUCUUGAAUUUUCUGGAGGUAAGCGGAAUAUGUCAUGUAGCGGUGAAAUGCUUAGAUAUGACAUAGAACACCAAUUGCGAAGGCAGCUUGCUACAGGGAUAUUGACACUGAGGCACGAAAGCGUGGGGAGCGAACAGG